UACGUAGGCAGCGAGCGUUGUUCGGAGUUACUGGGCGUAAAGAGUGUGUAGGCGGUGCUCUAAGUCUGUUGUGAAAUCUCCCGGCUUAACUGGGAGGGUGCGGCGGAGACUGGAGUGCUAGAGUGUGGGAGAGGUAAGCGGAAUUCCUGGUGUAGCGGUGAAAUGCGUAGAUAUCAGGAGGAACACCUGUGGUGUAGACAGCUUACUGGACCACGACUGACGCUGAGACACGAAAGCGUGGGGAGCAAACAGG
rnacentral:rRNA from 1 species